UUAAAAGAGUACUAGCUGCAUAUCCGGACUCUUAAAAGAGUACUAGCUGCAUAUCCGGACUGAUUUAUUUGACUAGCUCACACCGGGAACUCAUCGGGAUGGACUCUUACCAACAACUGUGAUGGGUUCUUUAACUUAACGUGCUUGAAGUAGGGCUCUCCUCCAAAACGGAAAGAUUUCAACGGAAGACUAACACAAGAAACAGAAUAGCCAACGUAUACACAGAAAAGGGUAAAAGAAAACCUGGCGUAAGAAUAUUAAUUUGCUCCCUGAGAACUGAAGACUCACGUGAUCAGUUCUUUCUCAUUCCCACACUACACAAACACGGCCGCCUCCCUACCAGUGCUGGUGAUGUCACGAAGUGUUGUUUUUUUACACCCACUCUGUCCAACAUACCAGUGGUCAACCGACAUUUGUGUACUAUCGCUAACGUGUGCGGUUGUACCAUCAUUUGUUAUAGCACCAUUGUAAAAGAUUUCUUUGCGGGUGGAUGUUAACCAUGGGGCCGAUGAGUGUGGUACCUGUAGUAGUAGCCCUGUUGAUGACAGGUUACGGGGCAAGUGUAUCUGGGGAGUGUCCCUCUGCAUGCACCUGUAAUAGUAAUGUCGUAUCCUGCGAAAACAAGGAACUGAAGACCGUCCCCACCGUACCGUCUGACACGACCAAGCUCCUCCUGGAUGGGAACGGGAUCGCCAGCCUGGACGGACUGGUGGCACAGACACUUCCUAACUUGAAGGUACGAACCGUGAAAAGCAGUCCCAGCUAGUUGUCAUUUCUGUCAGUGUGUCAUUGAAAAAGUUAUUACUCAGGGAGGGAGUGUCACCCCCUGACGGACUGUUAAUUAUAGUUGGUGCUGUUCGCAGCUGUAUCUCACGAUUCCUUUGCUGCAUUCGUAUGUGGGUUGGUAUCACGUCUGCCCAUAUGGCUAAGUUCAGCAAAGUUUCGAACCAAUCAGUGCCAUGGACACCCUCUAUGUAACUAAGGUGGUCCAGGCCAUGUUACAGCUAUCACUUGGGGUCGGAGUGAAAAUGGGUAUAAGUCAGCCAUACACAUUUCAAAUUGACUCAAAUUUGCAGGAGAGUUAGAUUGGAUGUGUAUCGUUGCGUCUAAGUAAUUUUCGUAUUGAUACAUUGUAUUAAUUUGUUUGUUUUAGUAAAUUAAUAAAGUCAUUUUUUGGGGUAGAAAAUGUAGUUUAAUGAACCAUUCCGAAAGUUCAAUACUUGUGUUUUUUUGUGUAUAGCUGCUAAUACUUACCUUUGGACAGAAACUGGGUGAUUAUAAUGAUACUAUAUUUCCUUCUCCUGAAAAAGCAUUAUUUGUCUAUAUUAUUGAUGGAUAUUUUAGGGUAGUUCUUUCCUUUCUGGCUUAUAUAAAAUCUACGGAAUCAUUUUCCUAGAUUUUUGGCUGUUUUUAGAGUAGACAAGGACAUGGCCGAUCAUCUAACGUUAUUUUCGUGUUUCCUGAAAGGUUACUAUAGUCCUUUAAAAUGGUUUAAAGUUUGUACUAUUAAUCUUACCUACAGAGGCAUGUUCUCCAACCAAUCAAUCUGACAGCCUAAUCACUUAGCUUAUUUAGCACCUCAUUGAGAAGCAAUUAUAAGUAAUUGACACUUGCACCGGGGCUCAGCUGGUGCUAUUGUUAUGCGUAGUGUGGUCUGUCAGGUUUGUCUUUCGUCUUUCACCUUACCAUACUCCAAUGCCCAUCCAAAACACAAAAUAAUGACAUGAAAAGACAACUGUAAAAUUUACAAAAGUUACAUUUCGAUUAAUGAAGGCUCAGGAAUUCCUUUUUUUUCUUUAGCAGUCGAAGUACUGUUCAUAGCUGGGCACAUAACUAAUGAUCCAAGGUGAACUGAAUGAUUGAAUUCUAUGUAGUUAAUUUUGGUGAUAAAAUGAAGACCUAAAAUAUCAA